CAUGCAAGUCGAGCGGCAGCACGGGAGCUUGCUCCUGGUGGCGAGCGGCGGACGGGUGAGUAAUGCCUAGGAAUCUGCCUGAUAGUGGGGGAUAACGUUCGGAAACGGACGCUAAUACCGCAUACGUCCUACGGGAGAAAGUGGGGGACCUUCGGGCCUCACGCUAUCAGAUGAGCCUAGGUCGGAUUAGCUAGUUGGUGGGGUAAUGGCUCACCAAGGCGACGAUCCGUAACUGGUCUGAGAGGAUGAUCAGUCACACUGGAACUGAGACACGGUCCAGACUCCUACGGGAGGCAGCAGUGGGGAAUAUUGGACAAUGGGCGCAAGCCUGAUCCAGCCAUGCCGCGUGUGUGAAGAAGGUCUUCGGAUUGUAAAGCACUUUAAGUUGGGAGGAAGGGCUGUGCACGAAUACUGUGCAGUUUUGACGUUACCGACAGAAUAAGCACCGGCUAACUCUGUGCCAGCAGCCGCGGUAAUACAGAGGGUGCAAGCGUUAAUCGGAAUUACUGGGCGUAAAGCGCGCGUAGGUGGUUCGCCAAGUUG
rnacentral:rRNA from 1 species